rnacentral:rRNA from 1 species
ACUCCUACGGGAGGCAGCAGUGGGGAAUAUUGCACAAUGGGCGCAAGCCUGAUGCAGCCAUGCCGCGUGUAUGAAGAAGGCCUUCGGGUUGUAAAGUACUUUCAGCGGGGAGGAAGGGAGUAAAGUUAAUACCUUUGCUCAUUGACGUUACCCGCAGAAGAAGCACCGGCUAACUCCGUGCCAGCAGCCGCGGUAAUACGGAGGGUGCAAGCGUUAAUCGGAAUUACUGGGCGUAAAGCGCACGCAGGCGGUUUGUUAAGUCAGAUGUGAAAUCCCCGGGCUCAACCUGGGAACUGCAUCUGAUACUGGCAAGCUUGAGUCUCGUAGAGGGGGGUAGAAUUCCAGGUGUAGCGGUGAAAUGCGUAGAGAUC